rnacentral:rRNA from 1 species
AACGAACGCUGGCGGCAGGCUUAACACAUGCAAGUCGAACGCUCGUAGCAAUACGGGAGUGGCGGACGGGUGAGUAACGCGUGGGAACGUGCCCUGAGGUACGGAAUAACUGAGGGAAACUUCAGCUAAUACCGUAUGAGCCCCGAGAGGGGAAGGAUUAUCGCCUUGGGAGCGGCCCGCGUCGGAUUAGCUAGUUGGUGGGGUAACGGGCCUACCAAGGCUUCGAUCCGUAGCUGGUCUGAGAGGACGAUCAGCCACACUGGGACGUGAGACACGGCCCAGACUCCUACGGGAGGCAGCAGUGGGGAAUCUUGCGCAAUGGGGGGCAACCCUGACGCAGCCAUGCCGCGUGAACGAUGAAGGCCUUAGGGUUGUAAAGUUCUUUACCCGUGACGAUGAUGACGGUAACGGGGGAAUAAGCUCCGGCUAACUUCGUG